AUUGAACGCUGGCGGCAGGCCUAACACAUGCAAGUCGAACGAGUGGCGGACGGGUGAGUAAUGUCUGGGAAACUGCCUGCUGGAGGGGGUUAACUACUGGAAACGGUAGCUAAUACCGCAUACCAUCGGAUGUGCCCAGAUGGGCGUAGCUAGUAGGUGGGGUAACGGCUCACCUAGGCGACGAUCCCUAGCUGGUCUGAGAGGAUGACCGGCGACACGGGAACUUAGACACGGUCCAGAGUCCUACGGGAGGCACCAGUGUGGAAUAUUGCACAGUGGGCGCAAGCCUGAUGCAGCCAGGGCGCGUGUAUGAAGAAGGCCUUCGGGUUGUAAAGUACGUUCAGCGGGGAGGCGUUACCCGCAGAAGAAGCACCGGCUAACUCCGUGCCAGCAGCCGCGGUAAUAC
rnacentral:rRNA from 1 species